CUUUCUAACCUCCUAAGGCCCAAGGUCCUUCCUAUAGUAAUAAUUAAGUUGGUCAUUCAGACCCAGCUUCUUCAACGACUGUAUAGUCAUAGCGUACCACGGUCCUACCAGUAGGACUUAUUAUAAAAGCCAUCAUUUUGAUUUCAAAUUGCGCACCAAUCUAAACUGACGUAUACGAUUUUCUAGAGGGGUAUUUUAGUUUGAAUGUGAACACACUUAUAAGCUUGAAAAAUAAAAACAAAGUGUCAAACUGACAAGUUACAGACGGCGACAUGGGUAUUCCGUGAAGGAGAGGAUUAAAUGACAGAGAAACAUAAUUCGCUCUUAGGGAAUCAGAAAUAGAAACUGAAGAU